rnacentral:rRNA from 1 species
GACGAACGCUGGCGGCGUGCUUAAUACAUGCAAGUCGAACGGAAAGGCCCUGCUUUUGUGUGGUGCUCGAGUGACGAACGGGUGCGUAACAGGUGAGUAACCUGCCCUUGACUGUGGGAUAACUUCAGGAAACUGGGGGUAAUGCUGGAUAGGACCUCCUGCUGCUUGGUGGGGGUUGGAAAGUUUCGGCGUUUGGGGAUGGAGUCGCGGCUUGUCCGCCUGUCGGUGAGGUAGUGGCUUAGCAAGGCUUCGACGGAUAGCCGGCCUGAGACGGGGACCGGACACAUUGGGCCACAGAUACCGGCCGUACUCCUGCUGGAGGCAGCGGUGGGGAAUAGUGCGCGAUGGGCCGAGGCCUUAUGCAAUAACGCCGCGUGCUGGAUGACGGUCUUCAGAUUGUAAACGGCGUUCGCCUGUAACGAAGCCUGAGUGACGGUAAUGUGUAAAGAAGCACCGGCUAACUACGUG